GACGAACGCUGGCGGCGUGCUUAACACAUGCAAGUCGAACGGAAAGGCCCUGCUUUUGUGGGGUGCUCGAGUGGCGAACGGGUGAGUAACACGUGAGUAACCUGCCCUUGACUUUGGGAUAACUUCAGGAAACUGGGGCUAAUACCGGAUAGGAGCUCCUGCUGCAUGGUGGGGGUUGGAAAGUUUCGGCGGUUGGGGAUGGACUCGCGGCUUAUCAGCUUGUUGGUGGGGUAGUGGCUUACCAAGGCUUUGACGGGUAGCCGGCCUGAGAGGGUGACCGGCCACAUUGGGACGGAGAUACGGCCCAGACUCAUACGGGAGGCAGGAGUGGGGAAUAUUGAACAAUGGGCGGGAGCAAGAUGCAGGAACGCCGCGUGCGGGAUGACGGCAUUCGGGUGGUAAACAGAUUUCGCCUGUGACGAAGCGUGAGUGACGGUAAUGGGGAAAGAAGCACCGGCUAACUACGG
rnacentral:rRNA from 1 species